rnacentral:lncRNA from 1 species
UUUGGCAUGAGGUGGUGGAAGUGGCUUUUUCACGGGCCUAGGUAAUGGUGAUCUCAAAAUAGGAGAUGGAGUAGUUGGUGGUUUUGAGUGAGGCGAUGGUGGUGGUGGUCUUAUCACAAUAGGAGGAAGAGUUGGUGGUUUUUGUGGUGGUGAUGGCUUUUUGUAAAAUGGGGGUGGUGGUCUUAUCACAAUAGGAGGAAGAGUUGGUGGUUUUAGUGGAGGUGAUGGCUUUUUGUAAAAUGGGGGUGGUGGUCUUAUCACAAUAGGAGGAAGAGUUGGUGGUUUUAGUGGAGGUGAUGGCUUUUUGUAAAACGGGGGUGGUGGUCUUGUCACAAUGGGAGGAAGAGUUGGUGGUUUUAGUGGUGGUGAUGGCUUUCUGUAAAAUGGGGGUGGGGGUUUCUUGAUGGGAGCUGGGAGCUUGUAAAUAGGACU